UUGAUUUUCAGAAUAACAACUUUGCUUGUUAAGAAUUCUACAUAUAUAAACUUUUUCUUGACAUCUGUAGGUCAAGAUUUGGCUCAAAGGCUUGUGAAAUUAGCAUUGAUGAGCACAGGACAUAGUGAAGAAAAACAAACAUAAACAAGAAAUUAGCAUUGAAAUUAUGAAAUUAGACAUGUAGAAUGUCCAGUUGCACAUAUGGUGUUCUAUGGGAUAGUUAUUCUGAACAUAUUGUGUGCUCACAAAUUAUAUCUCUUGAAUUUUAGGAGUGAUAGAAGAUUCAGCAGCUCCUGAGGAGGAAUAUGUACCAAGGAACAGUAAGCGCUAUGUCAAAGGAGAAGAAGAAAUGACAACAUAUUGCUGGAAGAUUCAGAAAAAGGAAGAAUUCAGGACUUGCUUUUCAUGUCAUCUCCACGAAGAUGUUAAGAAGAGCUGCUCUGCACCCGUACUGUUUGUAAAAACAGCCUUCCCAGAGGAGCCCCACACCAUUAUUGUUCUCUCCAUUCCUGUUGGUAAUUGAUUCAGGAAGCUUUCUUGAAGAAUGUGGGUUUCUACUUCAUUAUUACUACUGCUGAAUAUGUUAUACAUGGAUUGUAAAAAAUUUUAAUGCAUCAAAAUGAAUAGCAAUACAACUAUAAUGAAUAUAAUUUAGGCCUUCAGGGUACAGAAUUUGCAGUGCUGCAAACAUUCAUUUUGAACAUCAAUGAUAAUUACAUUGUAGCUAUAACAAUAUAGAAAAUGGACUGAAAUGACCUUCCUUCUGUAAUAUUCUGCAAGUUGUUUGAUAAAAGGUAUUCCAUCACUUGUUAAGUUGUCUGUUUUGUAUGUAGGGGAAGAUGGAGGUAAGGGUGUGUGGAAUGAGAGACAAUGAGAGGAGGACAGAUGGGAAUAUGGGAUGUAGUUCUUUAUUUUAUGAUUGUAUUACAGUUUAUAAGAAAUAGUGAUGUUAGUGAGCUUCAGCAAGGACCCACCAUAAAUGUAGGUAGAGGCAGGGACAGAGAACAGGACACUGAAACAAGUUAUAUGGUCUCAGUAAUGGGACAAUGCCACUUUGUUUUCUUCUUCU